rnacentral:miRNA from 2 species
UGAGGUAGUAGGUUAUAUCAGU